rnacentral:rRNA from 1 species
CUACGGGCCGCUCCAGUGAGGAAUAUUGCACAAUGGGGGGAACCCUGAUGCAGCAACGCCGCGUGGAGGAUGACGCAUUUCGGUGUGUAAACUCCUUUUAUAUGUCAAGAAAAUGACGGUAGCAUAUGAAUAAGCACCGGCUAACUCCGUGCCAGCAGCCGCAGUAAUACGGAGGGUGCAAGCGUUACUCGGAAUCACUGGGCGUAAAGGACGCGUAGGCGGGUUGGAAAGUCAGGUGUGAAAUCCUACAGCUUAACUGUAGAACUGCACUUGAAACUUCUAAUCUAGAGUAUGGGAGGGGGAGAUGGAAUUAGUGGUGUAGGGGUAAAAUCCGUAGAUAUCACUAGGAAUACCUAAAGCGAAGGCGAUCUCCUGGAACAUUACUGACGCUGAGACGCGAAAGCGUGGGGAGCAAACAGGAUUAGAUACCCCGGUAGUC